GUGCAUGGUGUUUAGUCAGCAGAGGACACUGCCUUGAAGAAGCACAUGGAAAGUAUUCACGCUUGUGUCUUUCUCAACACAGAGGUUCCCGUGGAUGAGCGCACCAAUUCAAGUCACACUGGUUGGCUUUUGUUUGGUGUUCGCCACCCCCCUGUGCUGUGCUCUGUUUCCUCAGAAGAGUUCCAUGUCUGUGACAAGCUUGGAGGAUGAGUUGCAAGCCAGCAUCCAAAAGAGUCAUCCUGAAUUACGGCGUGUGUACUUUAACAAGGGCCUGUGAAGCCAAGAUCAAGUGCUGGAGGCACCUCCUGCCAUCUGUGAACCUCCUGAAGCCAAGCAGUGAGGAAAUACGUGUGCUGGGCACUCCCCGCUACAAAAGCCUCUGCAAAAUCUGUGUUAGAGUCAAGCUGCCUGUCAGGAACCUGACAUUUGAAUCGUGUUGUAAUUUACAAAAAAUACCCUUCUGGUAGAUUUUAAUGAUGCUGUUUUUUCCAAAGCCCCCACCUUGAGCUUUCAAAAGCUCUGGUGGGCAUAGCAUAUAUGCUCCAGUUACACACUCAGCAAACACUGGUUAUCAAUCAUUGGAAAGGUUACCAGCUCAACUAUCACAUUCUGUUUCUACUUCUCUCCCACUGGGGUCUCAGCAAUGAAUUGGGAAAACACAAAAGGUCUAAGACAAAAUAUCCAAAUUUAAAUACUAAGGAAACUAUAUCUCCAGUUUGGCAAUGGACCAGUCCAAAGUAGAACCUCAAUUAAAAAAAUUGAGGUUCAGAGCAUAAACACUCCAUACACCUUCCUGAAGUCAGCCAUAGACCAGGGUAGGAUGCCUUCCCUGCCAUCCUGGAUUCUUCAACUCUUCAAUGUGUUUAGUGUUCUUAAAAUAUUAAUUGUACCUCACAGGUACUUUAUAAUCAUGAAUUUCCAUCAAAUACUUAACUGAAAUGGUCUAUUCAGUACCAGUACAAUGUGACAUUGACUGGGUGACCGGUUUUUCAGAAGUGAAACCAUAGUCCCUAUAUGCCUUUUUCCCCCCAUCCUUGUAGAAUUUCUUUGGCUUUCAGGAAGAUAUACAGAAACCACACAAACUAGUCCAGCAACUGUGCACAUUGUGCUGCGUUCCACCCUGUUUGAAGACCAUGAAGUCUUGUGGCAUGUCAACAUUUCUAUGGUGAUUUUUACAUGUGACAUAUUGGGUGUAGCUGAGGUUGCUUUGGAAGUCUGUGGCUAUUCCACGUCAUAGACAAGCCACUUGUUAUGCUGAGUGAAAAAUCAUUGUUAAUUCAGAUAUUUGUACGUGGAAAAAAACCCCACAAAAAUAGAGACUAUCUAGUUUCUGUAGAUUCUUUUUCCCAAUGUUUCCAGAUUGAAUUUCCUCAUAAAGAAAAUAUGGUGUGCCUUGUGUCUGUGCUUCUCCUUCCUCUGAAAGGAUGGAUGGAUCUGAAGCCCUCAGCCCUCCCCCAUGCUGCUAGAAUCUUCUGUGGCGAUGACCGCCAAACCACCUGAAAUGCAGUGGCUCCCUGUGGCACUCUGGCCUCGGACGAGCCUCACUGCCUUCAGUGCUUCUGUUUUAAACGGUGGUGAGAGCCUGGAGCUCAAGGCAGAGUCCACAGGUGCUUAAAGAACACUUUCAGAAGAAGCUGAAGGCCUCGAGGUCUGUUCACCCAGCCAAUCUCAGAGUCCUUGCCCCAGUGCGUGUGUAGCUCUGAGAAUGUGAAGACUCAGUUGGAAGAUGGACCAACUCACCAAGUGUCGGCCCAGUUAGUGAGAAACGCGCAGUAGACAUGGAGCUGGGCUCUUUUGAAUUUGUUUUGUGAAGUGUCGGCCUCUUACUGCUUUUGUAUAGUGAUACUCACUGUGUGGUUUAAUCAUGAUUUAUAAAAAAAAAAAAAGAACAAAUGAAUG
rnacentral:lncRNA from 1 species